ACUCAAGAAACGGAUUUUAGUCCAACCUAAUGUUAAUCAAAUAGAACAAAAUUUAACCAUAACUUUAGAGUAAUUCAAAUAAGGUACAGCCUAUUUGACACAGGAUACAACCUCAAUUAACGGGUUCUAUAUCUAGCACAACUUAAUCAAGUGGGCCCGAAAGCAGCCACCUUUCAAAAAGCGUCAAAGCUUAGUCAUUCCCUACUACAAUCCCUAAAUUUUUACCCAACCCUUUUACAGUAAUGAGUAAUUCUAUACCCCUAUAGAACUUUUUAUGUUAAAACUAGUAAUAAGAAGAUGACCCUUCUCUUAAAUGCAAACGUACACCAGAAAGGACACACCACUGGUAAUUAACACCCAUGAGCUGCUAAUAACAACGACAUGGAAAACCUCUAUUUUUUAUGAUGUUAACCUAACACAAGAGCAUUAAAAGAAAGAUUUAAAGGAAAAGAAGGAACUCGGCAAACAUUAACCCCGCCUGUUUACCAAAAACAUCGCCCCUCGAACAAACAUGAGGGGUCCAGCCUGCCCAGUGACUCUGUUCAACGGCCGCGGUAUCCUGACCGUGCAAAGGUAGCGUAAUCACUUGUCCUUUAAAUGAGGACUGGUAUGAACGGCACCACGAGGGUUAUACUGUCUCCUUUUUCUAAUCAGUGAAACUGAUCUCCCCGUGAAGAAGCGGGGAUAUUUAUAUAAGACGAGAAGACCCUAUGGAGCUUUAAACGAAAUGACAGCCGCCAACCCCCUCAAACUUCAGAGCACCCACCUUUAUUCUGGCGGCAUGAUUAUUAGUUUUAGGUUGGGGUGACCACGGAGAAUAACUCAACCUCCGUGUUGAAAGAGGACCUUCCCCUAAGCAAAAAGCCACACCUUGCUGCAUCAAUAAAUUGACACCCAUUGACCCAAUAUUUUGACCAACGAACCAAGUUACCCUAGGGAUAACAGCGCAAUCCAUUUUGAGAGCCCAUAUCGACAAAUGGGUUUACGACCUCGAUGUUGGAUCAGGGUAUCCCAGUAGUGCAGCCGCUACUAACGGUUCGUUUGUUCAACGAUUAAAACCCU
rnacentral:rRNA from 1 species